ACUGGGCAUGGUGGUGCAUGCCUGUAAUCCCAGCAACUAGGGAGGCUGAGGCAGGAGGAUUUCAAGCUUGGGGCCAACCUGAGCAAUUCAUCAAGGUCCUGAGCAAUUUAGCCAAGCCCUGUCUCAA
rnacentral:sRNA from 1 species